CACAAGGCGCGCCAGCGGGGCAACUCCAAGUUCAAGAAGAAGAUCAUCCGCCA
rnacentral:ribozyme from 1 species